AUGACCCUCUCCAUUCUCCAGGUAGUAGCAGAAAUUUGGACACAUGUAAGCAGAAAGAGAUACAUGAGGACUAGGGAGUUUGAAAGUUUAAGAUAUGACAUCCAGAUGACCCAAUCUCCAUCAUUCCUGUCUGCAUCUCCAGGCGACAGAGUCUCUAUCACUUGCCAGGCCAGUCAGGACAUUAACUAUUAUUUACACUGGUAUCAGCAGAAACCAGGGAAUGCUCCAAAGCUUCUGAUCUAUAACGCAAAUAGUUUAGCCUCUGGAAUUCCAUCAAGGUUCAGUGGGAGUCAAUCUGGGACCAAGUUCACUAUCACAAUCAGCAGCCUACAGUCUGAUGAUUUUGCCACUUAUUACUAUCUACAGGGUAGUAGUUACCCUCACACAGUGAUACAAGCCAUAACAUAA